GACGAACGCUGGCGGCGUGCCUAACACAUGCAAGUCGAACGAUGACGGCUGGUCCUUUUGCCCACGGGUUGAGCAGCGAACGGGUGCUUCACGUGUGGGCAGACUACCUCUGCGCGGGGGAUACCAUUAGCAAACGAAUGCUACUACCCCAUAAUUUAUUGACACACAAGGUGUACGCUUGAAAGAUGCUAUUGCAUCACGUAAAGGUGAUCCCGGGUUGUAUUAGCUAGUUGGUGGGGUAAAGGCAUAACACACCGAGGAAACGUAACAGGCCUGAGAGGGGGAGCGGCCACGUUGGGACGGGGACACGGCCCAAACUCCUACGGGAGGGAGCAGUAGGGAAUCUUCGGCAAUGGACGAAAGUCUGAACGAGCAACGCCGCGUGAGUGAAGAAGGCUGUCGGGUCGUAAAACUCAGUUGGUAGAGAAGAACGUUGGUGAGAGUGGAAAGCUCAGCAAGUGACGGUAACUGCACAGAAAGCGACGGCUAACUACGUG
rnacentral:rRNA from 1 species